GAAUGAGCUAUUUCUAUCUACAUACAGUACACCGUGGGGUCCCCUUGCAUUGAAUUCGCCGUGUUGUUUCUACAGUAGCCCUAAAUGGACAAACUGCUCUACAGAGCGCGUUUCGGCUGAUUUACGGAUAUUGGGAGCUGGUCUGAGCCGGACCCCGGCCAUUACAACAGCUACGGCUCGCUAUGAUAUCGACCGGAGAAGUCUGUUCUUAUUUGGACAAUCCUCUUCACCAAUGCACACUAGACAAAGGUCACCCUGAGGUCUGGCGGAUGAAUUCCUUCACGAGUUGAUGUCGUGGUGUUUGAUGAUGUUAAUCGCAGUACUCACUGGACUGUGGUGGUUAUGUCAAGUUUGC